GACGAACCGUGCGAACGUUGUUCGGAAUCACUGGGCUUAAAGGGCGCGUAGGCGGGUCAGCAAGUCCGGGGUGAAAUCUUUCGGCUUAACCGGAAAAGUGCCUUGGAUACUGCUGGUCUGGAGUGAGGUAGGGGCCGCGGGAACUUCCGGUGGAGCGGUGAAAUGCGUUGAUAUCGGAAGGAACGCCGGUGGCGAAAGCGCGCGGCUGGCCCUCAACUGACGCUGAGGCGCGAAAGCUAGGGGAGCAAACGGG
rnacentral:rRNA from 1 species